GGCAGGAUGGCCGAGUGGUCUAAGGCGCAGCGUUAAGGCCGCUGUCCGAAAGGGCGUGGGUUCGAACCCCACUCCUGUCA
rnacentral:tRNA from 1 species